rnacentral:rRNA from 1 species
AGAGUUUGAUCCUGGCUCAGAACGAACGCUGGCGGCGUGCUUAACACAUGCAAGUCGAACGGAACGUAUUAUGUAGCAAUACAUGAUACGUUUAGUGGCGAACGGGUGAGUAACACGUAGGUAACCUACCUCAGGGAGGGGGAUAACUCCGGGAAAUCGGGGCUAAUACCGCAUAAGACCACGGGCUGGGAUGUUUGUGGUAAAAGCAGCAAUGCACCUUGAGAUGGGCCUGCGGCCUAUCAGGUAGUUGGCGGGGUAACGGCCCACCAAGCCAUAGACGGGUAGCCGGUCUGAGAGGAUGGACGGCCACACUGGAACUGAGACACGGUCCAGACUCCUACGGGAGGCAGCAGUGGGGAAUUUUGCGCAAUGGGGGAAACCCUGACGCAGCGACGCCGCGUGGAGGAUGAAGGCCUUCGGGUUGUAAACUUCUUUUACCGGGGAAAAUUAUGAUGGUACCCGGGGAAUAAGCCACGGCUAACUCUGUGCCAGCAGCCGCGGUAAGACAGAGGUGGCAAGCGUUAUUCGGAAUUAUUGGGCGUAAAGGGCGCGUAGGCGGUUUUUUAAGUCGGAUGUGCAAUCCCCGAGCUCAACUUGGGAACUGCAUCCGAGACUGGAAGGCUAGAGUACUGGAGAGGUUGGUGGAAUUCCACGUGUAGCGGUGAAAUGCGUAGAGAUGUGGAGGAACACCAGUGGCGAAGGCGGCCAACUGGACAGUAACUGACGCUGAGGCGCGAAAGUGUGGGUAGCAAACAGGAUUAGAUACCCUGGUAGUCC